GUGGAUAAACUCGGGGGACUGCUGACUAUAACCAUUUCUCAAAACAGAGGAAGGUUGCGGCAAUAACAGGUCUGUGAUGCCCUCAGAUGUCCCGGGCUGCACACGUGCUACAAUGAGUGGCGCAAUGUGCUAAUGUUUUAAGGGAUAAGCGUGCGGCCAGUAGAACGUCGGCAAUUGCCCUGGCGUCUUCUACCGCACGAUUAUCAGCCUUCCCUUAACAGGGCGGGCAACCUUUUCAAAAUACCGGUUUGAUGUUAAAGUAUAGAGUCGUUUUUUUUGGAUGGUGGUUUACGAACCAAUACCAUCCGCAACUGCUCGCGAGUUUGUGGUUCUGGUGACUCAUGGUGGGGACCGAUGUUUGUAAUUGUUUGUCGCGUGUCAACUAGGAAUGCCUUGUACUGUCGAUUCACUAAGUUAUUGG
rnacentral:rRNA from 1 species